UUUCAAACAAGGAUUUAAUGGCAUCCUGGGAGCUGCCACCAACCGUCCUUCAACCAAGGAGAAGCAUACCAAGGUGGUAUGUAUCAGACACUGAUUUAUGAAAGGAAACCAACCGCGUUCCCAUAGGGUACAUCUACUGUCAGUGCUGACCCAUAUUUUACAGAUGAUGGUUCUCCAGACGACAAAAUGCAGUUCCCAGUCACCUUCAGUCACAGAGUGGAUUCAAAGCCAGCCCAGACUACGGGAGACCCCGUCUUAAACAAGUAUGUCGUCCUAACAUUAACUUGCAUAGCUUCCCCCAGCAGACACACCAAGCUCCUACU
rnacentral:lncRNA from 1 species